CUCCUGCCCCCCCCCCCCCCCCCCCGCUCGCUCCCCUCCCACCCUCCCGCUCUCCCGCCGCGCGAUACGCGCACGCGCACUCGCCCCCGCCCCGCCGCCGGGGCUGUUGACGCGAAGCCCUUCGGCUUUGCGGCCUCGAGUCCGCGCUCCGGUCUGCUCCGACGAGGUCUGGAUCCCGCUCCCCCGCAAUGGCACGCGCCGGACUUGCGGGUCACGUCCCGCCACCCUCCACUCCCCACCCCCACGGUGUAUUCGCCAGCCGCCACAGGAGGCUGAGCGUGUGUUCCUACGUUUACCCGGGACCUCCUCGCCCCCGCCCUCUCCGCGGUUCUCUCUUGCCUCUCACACCACCCAGGUCCCCGUGCCCUCCCUGCAACGGUCCUCUUCCGCUCUCACUCCCACCGUCACGCUUCAGGAGCGCCGCCUGGCGCUGCGCUCCCCCGACCUGGGCGUCUCCGCCCACACGAGCCCCUCCUGCCGCGUCCUCGCCUGAACCUGUGCCUGCGCCCCCUAAUUGCCGCCUCGGCCCCCCCACCCCUCAACGCGAGCGCACUCGCGUAGGGGCGUCGCUACGCUUCCCGACAGUCUGGGAGCCCGGGGCGCCUCUCUGAGUGUUGGGCGAGGGGGCGGGCCUGUCUGCGGCGCGGUCCCGCUCGCCCUCUUGGGCGCCUCUUCGGUCCACCUGCCCCACAAGCUUUUGUUUCCGGUGCGGUUGUGGGCUCCCCUCGCGCUUUCUCGCCUUGUUCUUUAGUGUGUUUCUCCUCUGAACAGGGUUCCUCCAGCACCUUCCUUCGUGGUGGUAAACAUCUUUAGGUGUGGUUGACGCCAAGCCCCCAGGUUCAGUCAGGCACGGUUGUAAACGUUGGCUGACACACUCAAGACGUCCCUUCCCAGGAUCCUCAAUUGAGCCUGGAAUCGUGGAAGCUGAUAAAGGAGAAACUAAAAACCACACAUGAGCUCAUAUUGCACAGAUCGCUAUUUCAUCCUUCUCUCUCGUCACAUGUCAAUUCUCCAGAGACACCUUCUUGGCCCUUCUUCCCAGACUAGGUGAGCUUCUCCUGUAAUAUGUCCUUAUAACACCACAAGGCUCAUUAUCAGGACAUUUAAUGCAGUUUGUAGUUUUGCUUUUGUUUAUGUAAUUAUUUGCUCAAUGAUUCUCUUCUCUAGUGGAAUAGAAACCCCAUAAGGGCAGGAACCAAGUCAGUUUUUGCUUAGCAUUGUACCUCCUGCAGUCAUUGAUAACUAUUCAUUGAAUGAAUAAGAUGAAUGAUUCUGAAAACACAAAGGAAUUAAUUUUAAAUGUAACAGAUUAAAUAGUAAGAAUUAAAUCUUUUUUGAGUGAUAGGUCAUAUAUUAAAUUUUAAGGUAAAUUUUUUUUGACUCAAGACUUCCCUCUUCUAUUGUAAACUUCUUAACACACUCUGAAUAUCUCAAUGUAUAAUCCUUUUAAUUUUCUCAGUAGCCAAUAACAAAAGGGUAUGAUCUGGUCUUGAAACCCAUCCCUGGGUCUUGAAACUAGGCCCCACUGCAGUGCGUGGCAGCCAGAGCCUGCUGCCCUGGGAUAUUGCCCUGGCUGCUCCCCUUCCCACCAUACUUACCACACUCCCUUGCAUCUAUGACCUUCUGGUCUUCCCAGCUACCUUGCCUUCAAGUCAGAGCCUAUCACUGACGCUUGCUUGAGGCAAUUCUUCAGACUUUUUUUGCUUCACCCUUGGAUUUUGUAUCCCUACAGCUUCAGCAGGACUGGUGAGUGGGGAGUGGGGUGGUGAUGCUGAUGGCGGAGCUGAUUCCUAGUCCCUGGCAAGAGCAGAGUUUAUGUAGCUCUGAUCUGGAAUCCAAACUACCUAGAAGAAAGAACAGGGAGUGGGGGAGCUGUGUGGAAGGAUGAGAUGCUAGUAUUAUUUCCAGUGUGUUUUGGGGAAGUGAUUAAAUGCCAGGCCUACUUACUCUGAAUUUCUGAAACUGGCCCAGAAAUCUGCAUUUUAAUAUGCAGCCCAAAUAAUUCUGAUGCAUGUGGUCCCUGUAUAGCACUUUGAAAAAAGCACUGGCAUAGAGACAUAAUUUAUUAAGAGCAAUGUUAACACUUUCAAAAAGCCCCCUAUAUUCUCUGCUGUACUGAGUUGCUUGAAACAAAAUACACACAUACUAUCAUGUAGGCUGACCCUCUGGUCCCUUCAAUGUAUAUUAAUGGAUAUCAUUCUGUUUUUAUGCUAAGAAGCAUAGAGGGACAGUUACCUGUUUUUCUUUGUGAAUUCCAGGAACAUCUGUUGCCUAACACCUGGCGGUGUCUGUAACAGGUGUAUGCUCAAGAUAGCAGUGAUAAAAAAUCAUAUGAUUUUGGCCCAGAUCACAAUUUGCAGCCUGUUAUUCCUGCCAAAUGGGUCAGUUGAGUUGGAAACCACAGCUGUGUGUUAAUAAUUUAGGGGAAGUGUCACCAUUUAAAAGAAAGAGCAUAAGAAUAUGGAAUAACUUGGGGAAUGAGAGAGAAAAUUUUCAACUGCUCAGGAACUUAAUUUUCUUUCUUGUCCUCUCAUCCCCUCCUUACUCAUCCCCCCAAAGCAUUAACUACUUUUAAGACUUUAUGACAGAGGUGAAAAUUAGGAAGUUGUUUGAACAAAAGAAAACAGUUCUGUAAAUGGUGGAGACCUCAUUUGGGAGGCCCUCAGGUUGUCUGGUUCAAAUCCUUCAUUAUGCAGACGAGGAAAUGGAGGCCCAGGAAUAUUAUGUGAUUGAGCCAGGUGACAGGCUAUAUUAUCUUUUAUCUGUCUGGAACCCAAAGCACAGCUAGAGUCCAGGUGUCAGAUGUAGUUCAUUAUUCUUCCCAUACUACCACAACAUGUUAGCUCAGAGUUCUAGGCAAGGGAAGUGACUAAUGAUAUUCCCUCUGCCACAGUGGAAGUUGUAUGACAGCAGGCACUUUGCCUAUCUUUUCCUCUGCUGUAACCUCAGCAUUUAAAGUUCUGCAAGGCACUUGUGAGUACUUGGUAAGGCCUAGUAGCUUCUACUUUUUUUUUCUGGGAAACCUAAGGUGCCUGGAAGAAAUUCGGCUAUUCUGAUGGAGAGACCAUAUGGAGAGAUCAUGUGCACUCUUGAAACCUAUGAAAAAGACUUAUUUGGAAAUAGGGUUUUUGCAGAUGUCAUCAAGUUAAAAUGAGGUCACACUAGAUUGGAUGCAACAUAAAUCCAAUGGCUGGCAUCCUUAUAAGAGGACCAUGGGAAAAACACACACAGGAAGAAAGAAAGCUGUGUGAUGACAGGGGCAGAGAUUGUGGUGAUUCAGCUGCAAUCCAAGGAAUGUCAAGGAUUGGCAGCAAUUUCCAGAAUCCAGAAGAAGUGAGGAAGAAUUCUUCCCUAGAGCCUUCAGUAGGACCAUGGCUGCACCGAUACCUUGAUUUUGAGUUUCUAGCCUCUGGAACUGUAAGAGAGUAAAUAUCUGUUGUUGUAAGCUACCCAUUUGUGGUACUUUGUUAUGGCAGCCCUAGGACACUAAUACAAGAAGAGAGGUCUUGAAACUACAUGGGGAGAGAAUGAGUCUCACUAUCCAGCAUUCUGCUGAAUCCUUCCAUUCAGUCUAGCCCUAGCUGCCAUUGACCACAACCACAUGAGAGACUCCAAGUAAGACAAGAAGUUCUGCCAAGGGGUCUCAGACACAUUCAUGUUGAUGGCAUGGGACAUCUUGGACAUUCCAGCCCCAUAGAGCAUCCAGAUAACUACAGCCCCAGCUGCUGCCAUGUGGAAUAGAAGAACCACCCCGCUGGGCCCGGUCAACCCACCAAAUUGUGAGAUAAUAAAAUGGUUGUUUUAGCUGUGACAUUGUGGGGUGGUUUUCUACAUAGCACUAGAUGACCAAAUAUUUGAGCUCCCUAGAAACAGACUCUGAGAUAAUGAAGUGAUUUAUUAGGAUGUGUUCCCAGGAAACAAAUGGUGGUGGCAUGGGCAAGUGAGGCAGUAGAGGAAGACAACCAAGCAAGGAUGUGACAUCAAGCGAAGUCCCAUGGAGGUUAAGUGUGAUCUAAUCCUGCCAGGAGCUCUGGAUAUGGUGUAAUUCAUAACUCAGUAUUGUCCCCAUCAGGGUCCUAGGUACUGGAGUACCAAAACUCCCUUACCCUUCAGUCACUGGUUAAGAGCUUUCCUGGGGAUAUGUAAACUGUCAGUCACUUCUGGUUCUCAGGCGGAGCAGGUCAGGGGAUGGAUGUUAGCAGCCUGAGGGCGGCUCUCCAGCAAGGAUACACUAGUGCUGGCCUUCGGGAACAAAGGUGCGCACAGAAAUAGUGUGUGGAAUGGUUAAAAGCAGGGUGACCAGUGUAUCCCCGUUUGCCAGGGACUGUCUUUAUUUAAAAUGGAAAGUCCUGGGCACCUGGGUGGCUCAGUUGGUUGAGUGUCCAAUUUCAGCUCAGGUCAUGAUUUCAUGGUUUGUGGGUUUGUGCCCCGCGAAGGGCUCUCUUCUGUCAGUCCAAAGCCUGCUUCAGAUCCUCUGUCUCCUUCUCUCUGCCCUUCUUCCGCUCACGUUCUCUCUCUUUCUGUCUCUCAAAAAUGAAUAAACAUUCAAAAAUAUAAAAUGGUAAGUCCCACAUCUGAGAAGCCCCCUCAGUCCUAGGCAAACCACACAGUUGGUCACCCUAGAAAGAGAUUAUGGGAUGCAUGAGCAGAGCCUGAUGCUUCUCCCCCGGUAAAUGCAUGAAUAUCCCCAGCUGGGUAAGUGGGGCCUGCAGGAUUCAUUGGAGGCAUCUUCGCCAGGAAUGCUGGAGGUCAACUAGCUGCCAAGGACCCUUUUAAUGUUAAGAACCUGUGACCUAUAACAGGUAUAAAUUGUUUCAAACUUUUUUACACACUGCGGAGGGGCUGAGGGGGAUCAGUGUGGGGAAACAUCUAGCUGGGCAGUGAGAGGCACGAGUAAGACAAGAGGGGCAGGAAGCACAUGGGUAUGACUAGGAGCUGGGCUGGAAUGUGAAACUCAACACAGAGCACACAGCACAACGUCAUCUACAGAUCUAAGGGGAAUGAGAGGCUGAAAACCUGGAGUCAGAGGAAGGACAGGGCUGGGAAGAGAUCAAUUUACUCUCGUCAGGAUAUUUUUUUGAAAAAAAAAAAGAAAAAAGAAAAAAAUGUUUUGACCAGAAUGAUUAUUUUUUGGAGGCUUUCUGAAGGAAAGGAGUUUAUGGAUACAAAUGAAGGUGAAAGUCUGUCUUGGGAGGGGUGAGGCUGGUGUCUCUAGCGGGGCAAGAAGUGGAGCCCUGUGGCCAUGAACUGAAGGAGUUCUCAAACACUAGACAGAGUGGACGUUCAGGCUGCCUCUGUGAGAGAACAGCAGCGGCAGCAGCCUGCAAUAGCCUUUAUUUCAUAUUUCAUUAGAUAGAAGCAUCAAAGAGUAUCAAAGCAAGGAAAGAGAACACAAAGGAUCUUUAGACAUUAGCCAGACAUACGUCUGGUGGCUACGUGAAGGCACGAAGGGGGUGCGUGUGGUUUCAAGGAAUGUCAGGGAGUUACAGCAGAUGUUGUAUCUUAACUGUCCUUUGGGGGAUCAUGCGGCUCUGUCCUCAUAGUGCUAUCUCAUUCGACAGCCUUGAGAACAGAACAUUGCUGAUGUUUCAACUAUUACCCCAUUCACCCUUCAGGACUUACAAUAGAAAUGGUCCUCCACAGAGCCCCAGUCACCUCAAUUGCAAGCAGAGAAGCUAGUGUAUGUAACUAACAGCAUGGAAAUAAGGAAUUUCUUAGGAAGAAUGGGAAGUCUUCAAUGAGGGAAGGCAACAACAAUGGGGAGAUUCUUUAAGUGUUACAGAUUAAUGAAUGGUUUGAGAACAAUAAACAUAAAUAUACUCAUUUAAUCGCAGAAUAUCAGAUAAAAGGGGCAUUUUGAAAGCAAGAAGGAAAUGCCUGUAGGAUAAAUAAAGGGAAUGAUAUUUUAUUUAAAUUCCACAAGUAAAUAUAUGGAAGAGGCUUACAAGAGAGUGUAAUACUAGCCUCAAUUGGUAAAGAGGUUCAAGACAGGCUUAGACAGUUUAGUGAGUGCAAAUCCAUCUCAGAUUAAUAGGGAAAGGUAUUUAAGAUUUUCCUGUUUAUUUUUUAAAUUUUCCUUUUAUUCUAAAUAUUUAGAAAAUAUAAAAGAUCAUACAGUGAAAACUUGCUCUCUUGCACUUGUCCCACGUCUGUCCAGUCCCUGCCACAGUCCCAAUAGGUGAUCACGGGUUUCUUAUAUGUCGUUAAAAAUAUUUUGUAAAGUGCAUAUAAAAGCAAAUAGGAAUAAGUCCUUUGAUGGCAGGGAGUUUAGUCUGUUUUCUUCAGUGACUAUUACCCCACUCCUAGAAAAGUUCCUGGGAUAUCAAAGGUGUUCAAAAAGUAUAUGUUAAAUGAUCAAAUAUAUUCACCCUCCGAAUUUUUAAAUAGUAGGAUCCUAUACUCACUCAUUUGUAUCGCAUCUUGCUUUAUUAUGUCCUCAAGAUCUUUCCUUAUUGGUACAUAAAGACCUCUUUCAUCCUUUCUUUUAGAGCCCAGUUAUGUUCCACUGCAUGGAUGUACCAUAAUUUAUUUGACCAGUCUCUUAUUAAUGGCCACUUAGUCCCACAUUUUUGUUAUUACAAACAUAUGGUGAUGAAUAAUCUUGUGUGAUUUUUGCACCUGUAGGAUGAGUUCCUAGAAGUACAACACCAGUUUUUAUGAAGUCAUGUCCUCCCCCAAAUAUCUCAGAUAUUAGUGACAAAAUUCUCAAUCAACUGGAACACUGAUCCGCCUGAAAGCAGGCAUUUCUUAUGUUCUUUUCAGGGUCACUGGGGUUUACUAAUGCCAGGUGUCUUUGGUCUGCUUUCUGAAAAGCACAGAGAUUUGUAGAAAGAGAAAUAGUGAACAGUGUUGGAUGCAGUGAAAUUGACACAUGGGUGCUCAAGAUGGUGCUGAAAGAUCAUAGUGGGAUCAAAUAUAAAAUCCCAGAAAUCCCACACAAAUCUUGUGUGGCCAGUGUUGUAAGCUGACUGUUUUCACUGUGAGGCAUAGGCUUUAAUUGCUAUAUAUGUGUACAAUAAUACACAUCUGUAGUUUCAAUAUUUUUCUGAGGACGUUUGAGGACCCAGGCCAAUACAUAAUGGCUUUUUUGCCAAUCUUCUUUGCCAUAGCCUUUCGUUUUCAUCAUAGCCUUGGGGCUUUGAUUUUAUUAGUUUGGUCAGACUGUGACACUGGGGACAUCAGGCUGAAAUGACAGCUUCCCACGUGCUUUAUCUCAGUGUUGUUUCUUACAGGGGAAGUAACUGCCGAAUCGGACAUGGAUGAUGGUGCUAUAAGAAAACAUUCUCUGAAUCCUUAACCCAGGCACACAUGGCUGUGCUUCUUUUCACUGCCAUAUUUCCAUCUGAAACGUGAAGAUAAUGAUACAUGCCUUGCACCCUUUGAGAAUGUGGUGGUGAAUAUUAAUGACAUAAGCUUCAAAAUACAGUUUGAGCUCUUCAGGCCUGAGGUCCUUGAUAAAAAUUGGGUUAUAGAACUAGGGAGAUAAAGGGGCACAGUCCAACCAUGACCAUUUUUCAUUAUAGAGCACCUUGACAGCUGCUCUAUGCCUCUAACUCCAGUACAAUACCUGGGAACUGUCAGUAUAGUGCAUAUGGAUUUUUAAUACUUUGCUUUAUCUUCCUAUGUUCUAACUGCCAGGGACUGUGGGUUGUUUAUUCAGUCAGCAGAUAUGUUUCAAAUGUUCACUGGAUUCUGACGGAGGUGCCUGUCUUGGGAAGAGCCCUGGGUUGCUGGCCAGGAGGCCUGCUUUGCUCAGACUCCAUCCCACCCACGUGGAAUGUCCUAAGCAGCCUACCCUACCUGAGCCUCUGUUGUCUUUUCAUUAGAGCCGAGUGAUGAUCUCUGCCCUGUGUGUCUCUGCGUAUGAAUAGGAACAUUCAGCAAGAAUAGAAAUACAAGCUUGUUCAGUAGCAUAAGGCCCGUUAAAGAUGAGUAUGAUUAUUAAUGUCUAUAUGGGGUGCCUCCUCAAGAUGGAAAGAAAACAGAUGUCAGGAAACAAAGACUGCAUCCUGUAAGCCAGGGCUUCCCGUCUGCAACUGAACUAUAAACCAAGAACAUAUCCACAUUUUCUACUGUGAUAUAUCAAAAUGAUAUAGGUCUGCAUAUGUGUAAAAAUAUGUAUGUAGGAUAUUUGUAAAAUAUGCAUAUAUGGAUUAUAAAAUAUAAAGCUAUCAAUUCUUCAGUUAUGACAACAGCAGAAAGAAUCUUCCUUUCAGGUGGCUCACAUUGAACUGUCCUAUGAGGGAAUUGGUCUUCUGUCCCCUGGAAGAACCAGGAAAUGUCAAAGGGGCCCCGUGCCAAAGUCAGAGCCCUGUCAGCAUGCAUUCCCACCCUGGCAAUAGUCCCGUGGCCUUGGGAUGGCUUUAGGAGCCUGGUACAGAUUCUAUUCCAACAGCUCCAGAGGCUCAGUGAGAGGAAAAAUAUCUGUUGAUUUUUUUUUUUUUCCUGAAAGUGGAUGGGUAAACAGAAGCUGGUACCAUAGGUACUUCGAGUUGGGGUAUCUUCCAAUUUUUGGUUAAGGUUUAUAGUCUGGAUCUUUUUUUUUUUUUAAUGUUUAUUUUAUUUUUGAGCGAGCACAUGAAUGGGGAGGGGCAGAGAGAGAGGGAGACACGGAAUCCUAAAUAGGCUCCAGGCUCCAAGCUGUCAGUACGGAGCCCUAUGUGGGGCUUGAACUCAUGAACUGUGAGAUCAUGACCUGAGCCAAAGUUGGACACUCAAGCAACUGAGUCAUCCAUGCACCCCUGGAGUCUGGGUCUUUAUGUAAAAUUCUCAUUUUUGAAUGUUGGCAUGUGUACAGACAUACACAUACAUCCACAGAUCAUUAUGUGAGAGAAACUGGAGUGGUCUCUCUAGGGGUCCUUGGAGAAGGAGAGGGUGUCCUCUCUAGAGGAGAGGGUGGUACCAGCCAAGAGGAACAGACAUGUUUAGAACCUAGCACUGUGGCAACAUUAUUGUGUUCUCUCCUUCUGGAGCUCAGCCUGACCACCAAGGUGGGGAUGGAUAGGCCACUGUGUAAACAUCUAUCACUUUCCUAGGGACUGGCUGUUAAGGAAGGCCACUUUAGCACUGUUUUAGAUUUCCCAUUUGGUUGGUCAAAGUUCAUGGGUCUCCCCGGCCAUUAGGGAGUUAACAUGUGAAUCAUGGAACUGUUCUAAAAGCCAUGUAAGUGUCUAAGGUAAACUACAGGAGCCACAUUACAGGAAAGGUGGAUCCAUGAAGUGGAACUAAUGGUGACCCCUAUAACCAUAAACCUAGCUACUUCUAAUAAGGGGAAAAGGUAACAGGCUGAUGAUUAUCAUCCUUGCACUUGUAAAAUGGCAGUGCUGAAAUCUAAUUGCUAAGCAACAGAUUUCCUAUAAGGUGAUUCCUAGGAACUGGUUUGCUCCAGAAUUGGGAGGAUAAGGAUAAAUAAUACCAAAUGAGGGGCACCUCGGUGGCUCAGUUGAGAGUCCGACUCUUGGUUUUGGCUCAGGUUAUGGUCUCACAGUUUCGUGAGUUGGAGCCCUAUGGUGGGCUCUGUGGUGAUGGCCUGGAGCCUGGUAGAGAUUCUCCCUCUCUUCCUGCCGCUCCCCUGCUCACACACUCUCUGUCUCGCUCUGUCUCUGUCUCUCUUUCUCAAAAAAAAAAAAAAAAAAAGCCUUUCUAACAGCUAGGAAAAGAGUUUUUUAAAAAACAGUAAUAAUACCAAAUGAUUCAUUGUCUUGCUUCUUUUGACUCCCUGGAAUUUCCCAAAUGCUAAGCAACGGGCGAGAAAGUGUCUGCCAGGGCACAGGAUGCAACUAUGAAUUUGGAGAGAGCACUUCUGUUCAGCUGAUUAUUUCAAUUUUCUCAUCCAUAAAAGGGGAUGGCCAAAGAACACUUUUUCAAUGCUCUGCAAAAGCCGAUUUGGAAACCAAAGGCUUAACUCUUUUCUUUUCUCUCACUGUUAAGCCUGUAUGUAGAAAUCAACCACAUCUAAUUUAAUCACACCUGCUUCUAUUUUGAUGAUAAGAUCAGAUUAUAAGGUAAGGAAUAGAAGCCCAGGGAAGGAAGAAGGUGGGCCAGAGGUGGUGCGUUUGAGCACACAUUGAACACCUAAUACGAGCGAUCACAUACAUUAUCCCAUUGUAUACAGCCUCCCCAGAGGGAGGAAUCAUUUACCAUCGUUUUACAAUGAAGCGAGUUUCCUUUUUGAAGGUUUGUUCCAAUUACAAAUCAGUGUGUAAAAUAAAACUCAUACACAAGAAAUGAAGGAGGAGGAGAAAAAGGGAAACGUUGGAAGUUUAUUCUCACUUACUUUUAAUUUAUUUGAUUAAUCCUUCUUAGUUUCCUUCCUCUGGCCAGUUCUUAAAGGCAAGCAUUUCCGUACAUUGAUUUUGUAUCCUGCAACUUUGCUGAAUUCAUGUAUCAGUUCUAGCAGUCUUUUGGUGGAGUCUGUCGGAUUUUCCAUGUAUAGUAUCAUGUCAUCAAGGUAAGCAUUUCCAAUCCUUGGUCCCUUCCCCAGUCUCAGUUUCUGCUUGAGGUACAGCCUCCUGGUAGAUGAUUCCCAUCUCUGGUCCUGAUUCUGCCCUACAUUCUAGAGCCACAUCAGCCUUGCCCGCUCCCAGCUAGCCACCUGUAUGUGUAAAUGAGUGGGGCUGACCUGCUAAUGGCCAACUGGUGUGUAUUGGGCUAAAGUCACUCCAGCCUUGUCCAUAAUCCCAGUGAUAUUAGGACUAAAUAUCACCUCCCCAAACCAAGAAAUAAGAAAUCUGACUGAAGGGAGCCAUUUUGGAUCAGCAGCACCUUCUGGAAAUAAUACUUGGAGGCUGCUGACAGAUUUCUGAAGGGCCAUGAGGUUUUCUGGUAUCUUGGGCUUUGGGGAUUUCCCUCCAAGGUGUGGUCACUGCAGAAAGAGUCCCACCCAAUAUCCCUACCUACUUCCACUUUCCCUACCAGCCCAGGCCUGAGGAACACCAGAUCCUGCUCUCACUCUCCGUGACCUGACAUUACCUAAGUUAGCGUUUGGUAUCAUACUAACUCUCUCUGAUCCCUGGCCUGCAGCCCCUGGAUGACACUCAAAAACUGCCACUUCCUGAUUCCAGAGUGGACUAAAUCUUGACAUCCCUGGGCAGACUUGGUCUUUGCCAUCCUAGUCCCCUCCAAGGAAACAGAAGCUUGGUCCUUUUCUCAUAUUCCGUUUUAGUUUCUAGGCAGUUUCCUCUACCAUCUCCCAUUACAAAAUAUCCCAUGCCAAAUUUGACUGACAGUUGUUGCAGCUAUUUUUGGGGGGG